UCAAGCGGAUAAGUGCACAGGGUGGAUGCCUAGGCACGAGCCGGCGAUGAAGGACGUGGCAAGCUGCGUUAAGCCUCGGGGAGCUGCAAGCAAGCGAAGAUCCGGGGAUGUCCGAAUGGGGAAACCCGGCGGGAGUGAUAUCCCGUCACCCGAGAGGGAGCCAACCCAGGGAACUGAAACAUCUAAGUACCUGGAGGAAGAGAAAUCAACUGAGAUUCCCAAAGUAGCGGCGAGCGAAAUGGGAAGAGCCCAAACCGUCCUUCGGGGCGGGGUUGUGGGGCCCUAGGGAACGGUAUCGAAAGGUUAGCGGAAGGCGCUUGGAACGGCGCACCGGAGAGGGUGAGAGUCCCGUAUGCGAAAACCGAGUAGAUACCCGCUAGGGUACCCGAGUAGGUCGGGGCACGUGAAACCCCGAUUGAAUCUGGGGGGACCAUCCUCCAAGGCUAAAUACGAGCUCGUGACCGAUAGUGAAGAGUACCGUGAGGGAAAGGUGAAAAGAACGCCUGGCGGCGAGUGAAAGAGAACCUGAAACCGUGUGCAUACAAGCGGUCGGAGCCUCCUUGAGGGGUGACGGCGUGCCUUUUGCAUUAUGAUCCGGCGAGUUACUGCUCACGUGCGAGGUUAAGGCCCUCAGGGCCGGAGCCGAAGCGAAAGCGAGUCUGAAAUGGGCGACGAAGUACGUGGGCGUAGACCCGAAACCGAAGCGAUCUAUCCAUGGCCAGGGUGAAGCCGGGGUAACACCUGGUGGAGGCCCGAACCGUUGUGGGUUGAAAACUGCUCGGAUGAGUUGUGGAUAGGGGUGAAAGGCCAAUCAAGCUCGGAGAUAGCUGGUUCUCCCCGAAAUAUAUUUUGGUAUAGCCUCAGGAAUUGUCUGCUGGAGGUAGAGCACUGAAUGGGUUAGGGGCCUUACCCGGUUACCGACCCCAAUCAAACUCCGAAUGCCAGCCAGAUGGACCCCGGGAGUCAGUGGGCGAGCGAUAAUGUCCGUCCGCGAGAGGGAAAGAACCCAGACCGUCAGCUAAGGCCCCCAAGUGUGUGCUAAGUGAGAAAGGAUGUGGAUUUGCGAAGACAACUAGGAGGUUGGCUUAGAAGCAGCCAUUCCUUUGAAGAGUGCGUAAUAGCUCACUAGUCAAGUGGAUCCGCGCCGAUAAUGGUCGGGACUCAAGCACACCGCCGAAGCUACGGAUGACAGACCUCUUCGGAGGUCGAACAUGGUAGGGGAGCGUUCCCUGGACUUGGAAGCGGGCCCGGAAGGGCACCCGUGGAGUGCAGGGAAGUGAGUAUGCCGGAAUGAGUACGCGAGAAACAGAGUGAGAAUCUCUGUCACCGAAAGCCUAAGGGUUCCGGAGCCAGGCUCAUCCGCUCCGGGUUAGUCGGUCCCUAAGCCGAGGCCGAAGGGCGUAGGCGAUGGGAAACAGGCGAAUAUUCCUGUACCACAGAGUUAAGCGUUUGACCCUGAGGGGGGACGCGGGAGCGUAGGAACUGUCGGGUGGUGGAUUCCGAUGCAAGGUGGUAGGCGAUGAGCGGGGUUAAAAGACCGCUUUAGCCGAGCGCCGAUGCCGAAGGGGACGCAUGUCCCCGCAAAGAGUUCUCAAGCAUACCGCCGAGAAAAUCCUCGCAGGGGAGUUUGCUCUGUGACCGUACCGUAAACGGACACACGUAGGCGAGGCGAGAAGCCUAAGGUGCUCGAGUGAUCCACGGAGAAGGAACUCGGCAAAAUGUCCCCGUAACUUCGGGAGAAGGGGAGCCUGUAGUAGGUGAACCACGAUGCGUGGGGAGCCCAGGCAGGCCGCAGAGAAUCGGCGGAAGCGACUGUUUAGCAAAAACACAGGUGUCUGCAAAGUCGCGAAGACGACGUAUAGGCACUGACGCCUGCCCGGUGCCGGAAGGUUAAAGGGAGGGGUUAGAGGUUCGCCUCGAAGCUCUGAACUGAAGCCCCGGUAAACGGCGGCCGUAACUAUAACGGUCCUAAGGUAGCGAAAUUCCUUGUCGGGUAAGUUCC
rnacentral:rRNA from 1 species